rnacentral:lncRNA from 1 species
GGGGAGGGGGGUUGGUGAACAGAAGUGUGCUAGUAAAUUCUUUAUUUUACGGCCAAACGUGAGACUUCGCCACGCAAAAUCUAUUUUAGUUAACCCAAAUACGAUUGUUCGACACCGAAUGAAAAAAUGAAAAACAAAUCUAACGCGAAGAGCUGACAGGCGACAACAACUAGUGGGCGGUGCCUCUGCAGCUACCCUACUGAUCAGCAAUAAGUUACAUGCCGCAAAGUGGCGGUGGCUGAGUAGGAAUAUAUGAAUAUGAUUACACGUGCAUGCAAGCAGGUAUGUAAAAUGAAACCGACAAAUCGCAUCAACUCAAUAAUUCGAAUCAAAUUGAGAAAAAAAGUCCGACUAUAAUUUAAUUUGAUUGGUUUGGUGAUGAAAAAAAAAAACCCGACGAUAUUUGGUUUGGUAUGGUUUUAACUAAAAAUAGUCAAACCAAAACUAAAUCAACCCGAUAUUAUAUGUAUAAAAUUUUUAAAUAUAUUUAAUACAUAAAAAUAUUUAUUAUAGUGUAGUUUAUAAAUAUUUCUUAAAUUUUUUUAUAAUUUUAUAUUUUAACGUAUUAUUUCAAGCUUGGGCUUAUAAUUUUUGGAUGCUCCAAUAAGUUUUAUAGUCCAUAAAUGUUAGUAACUCAAAUAAAUCCUAAACCAAAAUCAAAUUAAUACUAAUGAUAAUAAAAGAUAUUCAAUUCAAUUGUACUAUGAAUGAAAAUAGUGUUGAAUAUCUAUUUUUUUAAUUUUUCCAUGGUUUAAAUAAAAUGCAUAACUUAUUAUUUUUUAGUGUUUAGUCAUGUAAAUAAUAAGUAGUACUUAUUAGUCGUACUUAUUUUAGCAACUUAUUAGUAAUUUUAAAUUAUGUUUGUUUUUAUUAUGGCUUGUUAAUUAUAUUUAUUUUAUGCGAUUUACUCAUCUUAAUUGUUGAAUAUUUUAGUACAAUAUCAUGAAUCAUCUCAUAUUUAUGUUAUUUUAUUUAAAAAAUACCUUAUAUAGUUCUGUCUUACUAGGAUUACAGAAAUAUUUGAACCACAAAUUCUAUGUUUUGUGCUAUAGAGACUUUAUGAUAAAAAAACUCGAAACAAUCUGAAAACCCGAAAAACUCGAGAAAAAACGAGAUUUAAAACCCGACUUUUAUUUGUUUGGUUUGGUCUUUAGAUUUAAUAAUCCGAUAUACUUGAUUUGGUUUGGUAAUUAAAAAAUUCGAACCAACCCGACAUAUUUAAACCAGUGCAAGUCUCAACAAAUUAAAUGGGGUCCCCCACAAUUUUCCUUUUACAGAAAUAUACUGGCAAAAAGGUCUCCCCAAUUUUGUGCCUACGAAAUCGAUGUCCACAUCCAGCUGCAGUACAACGCUCCAGCUCCUAUGCAUUAUUGUCCCCACCAUUUCCUUUUUAUAGAAAUAUAAGCAACAUGCCAACCUACCAUUGGCUCAAUAAAUUGAUACUUGCAGAUAUUAGCAGAGAUUCCACCACCCAUUGUGGGAAAAAGUUGAAAAACAAUAUAUUCAAUGAAAUUCACAAUCUCUGAUUGGUCUACAUCUCUUCUUUGUGAAAAUUAUUUUUUCAUAUUUGAAAAUAAUUUAUUUUUAUGUAAUAAUUUAUAACCACACAAAAUAUAUAUAUCUCAUUUUACACCACAAGUUUAAAUUUUUUUUUUUUUUUUUCUAAACUUUAUGCUCAGUCAAAAUAGACUCACAUAAAUUAUACCGAGGGAGUAUAUCCAACGUACAUUGAUAAGGCAGCAAUAAAAGGUUUGCACAUAUCCUACAUGAUCAGAUUUACAAACAGACCGACACAUAUGCAGAUAUGGAUCUUUGUUUAUGUAUUUUGAGGUGUGAGGAUUACAUUUGUUAGAUUUUGUCCCAAAUCCUUUUUGGCCGAGCUGCAAAAUCGGCUUCUUUUGAGAAUAAUUUUUUUUAAAAGUAUUUUUCGAAAAAGUACUUUUAAAGAAAAAUAGUUUGUGUUUGACAAAUCAAUUUGAAAAGUACUUUUGAACAAUAAUUUAUGUUUGACCAAACUUUUCAAAAAAUACUUUUUUAAGUGUCAAAUUACAA